UGCCUACGGGGCGCAGCAGUGAGGAAUAUUGGUCAAUGGGCGAGAGCCUGAACCAGCCAAGUCGCGUGAAGGAUGAAGGAUCUAUGGUUUGUAAACUUCUUUUAUAUGGGAAUAAAAUGUUCCACGUGUGGGAUUUUGUAUGUACCAUAUGAAUAAGGAUCGGCUAACUCCGUGCCAGCAGCCGCGGUAAUACGGAGGAUCCGAGCGUUAUCCGGAUUUAUUGGGUUUAAAGGGAGCGUAGGUGGAUUGUUAAGUCAGUUGUGAAAGUUUGCGGCUCAACCGUAAAAUUGCAGUUGAAACUGGCA
rnacentral:rRNA from 1 species